UGCUUCCGGUCAAUGUGAAUAAAAACUGCAUCGUGUCUUCAUCAGAAUCACUCAGUCAUCAUGAAAAUUUAACAAACUAAUAAAAAAAAAAAAAAAUUGAAGGCUGAGUAUUUUCAUCAUGGGAUGUACGAAGUGGGGAAAGCUUCCUUGCACGCAAAAACAGUUUUUCAAAGGAUCUUCCAGCGCCAGUCAAAUGCUGUUUGAAGUCUGCUCGACUGGAAUAUAAAGUCACAGGGGCCAUUUUCAGCUGCGGCGCUUAGCGUGUGCGGUCUCCCUCCAAAGCCGCCGACCGACUCGAUGAACUCACCCGGGCAGGUUUGCCCCCACGUCUCCCCGGAAAUCGCGACUGCGCACACAUGAAGGAGACACUCUGA